CCACCUCCUCCCUCAGACUAUGAGCUCCUGGGGUUCUCCACCCACUUCAUGGAGACUCCUCAGCUUCUUAUCCAGGGUUAGGGUCUGCCUCCUGAGUGCCUGGGAGCCUUCCCUGUCUUGAUACUCCUGAAAGUACAGCAUCAGAGUCAGCUCCAGAACUUCUUACGACCCAUAGGAGCCCAUGUAGUCAGAGGAGCCCAGUGUAGUCAGAGGGUCCCAGUGUAGUCAGAGGUCCCAGUGUAGUCAGAGGUCCCGGUGUAGUCAGAGGAGCCCAGUGUAGUGAGAGGGCCCAGUGUAGUGAGAUGGUCCCAGUGUAGUCAGAGGUCCCAGUGUAGUCAGAGGGUCCCAGUGUAGUGAAGCGCCCAGUGUAGUCAGAGGUCCCAGUGUAGUCAGAGGUCCCAGUGUAGUAAGAGGUCCCGGUGUAGUCAGAGGAGCCCAGUGUAGUCAGAGGUCCCAGUGUAGUGAGAGGGUCCCAGUGUAGUCAGAGGUCCCAGUGUAGUCAGAGGUCCCAGUGUAGUCAGAGGCCCCGGUGUAGUCAGAGGGCCCCGUGUAGUCAGAGGUCCCAGUCUAGUCAGAGGUCCCAGUGUAGUUAGAGAACCCAGUGUAGUCAGAGGGCCCUGGUGUAGUCAGAGGUCCCAGUGUAGUCAGAGAACCCCAGUGUAGUCAGAGGGUCCCAGUGUAGUCAGAGGGUCCCAGUCUAGUCAGAGGUCCCAGUGUAGUGAGAGGGUCCCAGUGUAGUCAGAGGGUCCCAGUGUAGUCAGAGGUCCCAGUGUAGUCAGAGGUCCCAGUGUAGUGAGAGGGCCCAGUGUAGUGAGAGGUCCCAGUGUAGUCAGAGGUCCCAGUGUAGUGAGAGGGUCCCAGUGUAGUCAGAGGUCCCAGUGUAGUCAGAGGGUCCCAGUGUAGUCAGAGGGUCCCAGUGUAGUCAGAGGUCCCAGUGUAGUGAGAGGGCCCAGUGUAGUGAGAGGGCCCAGUGUAGUGAGAGGUCCCAGUCUAGUCAGAGGUCCCAGUGUAGUCAUAGGUCCCAGUGUAGUCAGAGGGCCCAGUGUAGUGAGAGGGCCCAGUGUAGUCAGAGGGUCCCAGUC